rnacentral:rRNA from 1 species
CCUACGGGAGGCAGCAGUGGGGAAUUUUGGACAAUGGGCGCAAGCCUGAUCCAGCAAUGCCGCGUGAGUGAAGAAGGCCUUCGGGUUGUAAAGCUCUUUUGUCAGGGAAGAAACGGUCUACUCUAAUACAGUGGGCUAAUGACGGUACCUGAAGAAUAAGCACCGGCUAACUACGUGCCAGCAGCCGCGGUAAUACGUAGGGUGCAAGCGUUAAUCGGAAUUACUGGGCGUAAAGCGUGCGCAGGCGGUUAUAUAAGUCAGAUGUGAAAUCCCCGGGCUCAACCUGGGAACUGCAUUUGAGACUGUAUGGCUAGAGUGUGUCAGAGGGGGGUAGAAUUCCACGUGUAGCAGUGAAAUGCGUAGAUAUGUGGAGGAAUACCGAUGGCGAAGGCAGCCCCCUGGGAUAACACUGACGCUCAUGCACGAAAGCGUGGGGAGCAAACAGGAUUAGAUACCCUGGUAGUCCACGCCCUAAACGAUGUCUACUAGUUGUCGGGACUUAAUUGUCUUGGUAACGCAGCUAACGCGUGAAGUAGACCGCCUGGGGAAGUCGGUCGCAAGNUUAAAACUUAAUGAAUUGACCGGNNGAGAGNGCGAGACGACGACGAGGGAGGAGG